CCUACGGGUGGCAGCAGUGGGGAAUAUUGCACAAUGGGGGAAACCCUGAUGCAGCGACGCCGCGUGAGUGAAGAAGUAUCUCGGUACGUAAAGCUCUAUCAGCAGGGAAGAAAAUGACGUUACCUGACUAAGAAGCCCCGGCUAACUACGGGCCAGCAGCCGCGGUAAUACGUAGGGGGCACGCGUUAUCCGGAUUUACUGGGUGAAAAGGGAGCGUAGACGGCAGCGCAAGUCUGGCGUGAAAUGCCGGGGCCCAACCCGGGAACUGCUUUGGAAACUGUGCAGCUUGAGUGCAGGAGAGGGAAGCGGAAUUCCAAGUGUAGCGGUGAAAUGCGUAGAGAUUAGGAGGAACACCAGUGGCGAAGGCGGCUUACUGGACUGUAACUGACGUUGAGGCUCGAAAGCGUGGGGAGCAAACAGGAUUAGAUACCCUUGUAGUC
rnacentral:rRNA from 1 species